rnacentral:rRNA from 1 species
UACAGAGGUCUCAAGCGUUGUUCGGAUUCAUUGGGCGUAAAGGGUGCGUAGGCGGCGCGGUAAGUCGGGUGUGAAAUCUUGGAGCUUAACUCCGAAACUGCAUUCGAUACUGCCGUGCUUGAGGACUGGAGAGGAGACUGGAAUUUACGGUGUAGCGGUGAAAUGCGUAGAUAUCGUAAGGAAGACCAGUGGCCAAGGCGGGUCUCUGGACAGUUCCUGACGCUGAGGCACGAAGGCCAGGGGAGCAAACGGG